GUACUAGUUGAACUAUUAACUCUCUUCAGCACAUAUACUAAAAUUGGAACGAUACAGAGAAGAUUAGCAUGGCCCCUGCGCAAGGUUGACACGCAAAUUUGUGAAGCGUUCCAUAUUAAA
ensembl:snRNA U6 U6 spliceosomal RNA